rnacentral:lncRNA from 1 species
GUAGAUUCUGAACCCCACAUUUAAAAACACUUAUCAUCCAAAGCCUUAGUUCUCACUAUUUUACAAUGACCAUAUUUGGUUCAAAUUCAGUGUUCUGUUCCAUCUCUCUAAAUUACCUAAUAUAUACAUUUCCUUUAUAAACAUUAACUUCUACUGAACAAAAAACCACUACAGAAUAGCUGGGUUUGACUAUUAUCACACAUAAUAACUAAACCUCUUUAUCAUCCUCACUGUUGUAUGCUUGGGUUAAGCUAGCUAGGAAACUGUUCUUGUUUAAAGUCUCAUCUAGAGAUGAGCCAGCUUAUUACCAGUAAUAGCUGUGUACAGAGGACUGAGCCAUGCCAUGAGGGAUAGUCCCUGACAAUUCUGGCUUCAGUGGUAAAGUAGGUAGGUAGGUAGAUUAAACUGAGAUUGUUUUUGCUAUCUAUUGCAAGGUACCAGCAAGGUUAACAAAGAGACUUUCUCCAGCAGUGGUGGAGGACAGUUAAAAUGAAUUGCUGGAAUGUGGUUCUCUACAGACACAAAAUCAGGCUCUCGUAUUAACUGGAGCCACAUGAUAUUAUCUUGGUGGAAGUGAAUAACAACAGUGCUGUUGGAAAUCUGUAAGGCUAUAUGCCACCAUCUGAAAGUACUGAGCUGUAAUUCAUUUUACAGCAAGGUAGGUAGGAUCAGUAUUUUCCUAUAGUAUAUACUGUCAUAUUUGUACAUAUAUUCUAUCUAAAUAUUUUGUAACAUACAUGUAAAUUAUCUGGAAUUAUUUUUCCAAACAUGCUAUCUUUCUGAAUUUUGAAAAUAUAAUCUGAAGUAGAUUUUGCAAGUAAUUAAGAAACCAC